rnacentral:tRNA from 1 species
ACUGGUUUAGUAUAAAUUUUAGUGCGUGGGAUUGUAGAUUCUGAGGUAUUCUGUGGGGUUAGCCGGGG